GCCGAAAUAGCUCAGCUGGUAGAGCACCUGAUUCGUAAUCAGUAGGUCGGAGGUUCGAAUCCUCUUUUCGGCACCA
rnacentral:tRNA from 1 species